UGGGGAAUAUUGCACAAUGGGCGCAAGCCUGAUGCAGCAACGCCGCGUGAACGAUGAAGGUCUUCGGAUUGUAACGUUCUUUUGCAGGGGAACAUAAUGACGGUACCCUGCGAGGAAGCCCCGGCGAACUACUUUCCAGCAGCCGCGGUAAUACGUAUGGGGCUAUCGUUAUCAGGAUUUACUGGGCGUAAAGGGUGCGUAGGUGGUCUUUCAAGUCGGUGGUUAAAGGCUACUGCUAAACCGUAGUUAGCCUCCGAAACUGGAAGACUUGUGUGCAGGAGAGGAAAGUGGAAUUCCCAGUGUAGCGGUGAAAUGCGUAGAUAUUGGGAGGAAAACCAGUAGCGAAGGCGGCUUUCUGGACUGCAACUGACACUGAGGCACGAAAGCGUGGGUAGCAAACAGG
rnacentral:rRNA from 1 species